GAGGCAGGAGGAUCACUGUGAGUUCAAGGCCAGCCUGCUCUACAAAAUGAGUUCAAAGCCAGCAUGAAUGACACAGUGAGACCCAUUCUCAAAA
rnacentral:miRNA from 1 species